AUUAGCUAGUUGGUGGGGUAGAAGCCUACCAAGGCGAUGAUGCGUAGCCGGACUGAGAGGUCGAACGGCCACAUUGGGACUGAGACACGGCCCAAACUCCUACGGGAGGCAGCAGUAGGGAAUUUUCGGCAAUGGGGGAAACCCUGACCGAGCAACGCCGCGUGAAUGAAGAAGUAUUUCGGUAUGUAAAGUUCUUUUAUUGAGGAAGAAUGUCUAGGUUAGGAAAUGAACUUAGAGUGACGGUACUCAAUGAAUAAGCCCCGGCUAACUAUGUGCCAGCAGCCGCGGUAAUACAUAGGGGGCAAGCGUUAUCCGGAAUUAUUGGGCGUAAAGGGUGCGUAGGCGGUCUGUUAAGUCUAAGGUGUAAGUGCAAGGCUCAACCUUGUGAUGCUUUAGAAACUGGUGGACUAGAGAUAGAUAGAGGCAAGUGGAAUUCCAUGUGUAGCGGUAAAAUGCGUAAAUAUAUGGAGGAACACCAGUGGCGAAGGCGGCUUGCUGGGUCUAUACUGACGCUGAGGCACGAAAGCGUGGGGAGCAAACAGGAUUAGAUACCCUGGUAGUCCACGCCGUAAAC
rnacentral:rRNA from 1 species